CCUACGGGAGGCAGCAGUGGGGAAUUUUGGACAAUGGGCGAAAGCCUGAUCCAGCAAUGCCGCGUGUGGGAAGAAGGCCUUCGGGUUGUAAACCACUUUUGUACGGAACGAAACGGCUCGCUUUAAUACAGUGGGCUAAUGACGGUACCGUAAGAAUAAGCACCGGCUAACUACGUGCCAGCAGCCGCGGUAAUACGUAGGGUGCGAGCGUUAAUCGGAAUUACUGGGCGUAAAGCGUGCGCAGGCGGUUAUAUAAGACAGUUGUGAAAUCCCCGGGCUCAACCUGGGAAUUGCAUCUGUGACUGUAUAGCUAGAGUACGGUAGAGGGGGAUGGAAUUCCGCGUGUAGCAGUGAAAUGCGUAGAUAUGCGGAGGAACACCGAUGGCGAAGGCAAUCCCCUGGACCUGUACUGACGCUCAUGCACGAAAGCGUGGGGAGCAAACAGGAUUAGAUACCCUGGUAGCCCACGCCCUAAACGAUGUCAACUGGUUGUUGGGUUGCAUUAGUACUCAGUAACGAAGCUAACGCGUGAAGUUGACCGCCUGGGGAGUACGGCCGCAAGGUUGAAACUCAAANAGAUAGAGCGNGNGAGNGCGAGAGACACAGGAGGAGG
rnacentral:rRNA from 1 species